AAGUCGUAACAAGGUUUCCGUAGGUGAACCUGCGGAAGGAUCAUUACAAGUGUUUGUCGGUGCAUCCCCCUCGGGGGCUCUGCCCGGCGUCACCCACCCGUGUCUAUCUACUCUUGUUGCUUUGGCGGGCCGCUUAACCGCUACGGGCCCUGCUCGUACGUGCCCGCCAGAGGACCAAACUCUGAAUGUUAGUGAUGUCUGAGUACUAUUUAAUAGUUAAAACUUUCAACAACGGAUCUCUUGGUUCUG
rnacentral:misc_RNA from 1 species